AAAGAAGAGAGUUAUGUUUGGAGUUCUGGUGAUAUGAUAUUUUUGCCAUAUCGCCCACCCCUCAUUUCUAUAUUAUGUGUAAUUAUGACAUUGCACAUCAAACAGCAAAGCUUAAUAAACCAUAGCUUUAAAUAAAUAAAGCAUUUCAAAUUAUGUCGAAGCUUCAUAAGCUUUCCUAAAGAAAGGAAGUGGAAACACGUUGUGGUUUAGUGUCUGCACUGAAAGGAAAUCUGCAGUUUGAUCAAUGCUUUUACAGACGAAAGACAAUGGAGAAGAUCAUGCUCUUUUGUGUUUUUUCAUACUUGAUUGUUCAGAUCAGCUCCAGCGAUGUUUCAGAACAUAAUGUGACUCUGUUAAGAUUCCGGCUGAAUGAAACCAUCAUUCUGAACUGCAACAUAACCGAGAGAUUCACCAACAUAAAUGAAAUAGCCUGGUAUCACCAGAAUCCUGAAUCUGGGCGACUAACACUGAUAUUUGCUAUGGGCGAGAGAGAUCUAAAUUCAAUGCGUGUAAACAUUCACGCAACAUUUAAAGCAGUUAAAGGGAGCAACACAUUGUCGCUAAUUAUUAUUGGACUAAUGGAGUCAGAUUCAGGUCUUUAUUUCUGUGGAACAAGAUUAGUGAAUUCAGAAAUGCACUUUGAGAAACCCAUCAGACUACAGAUCGAGGGUUAGUACUGCCGACUUCUCAAUUUCUCUCAAAUUUUCAUCAUCACUAGUAAGCUACUUCACUCAAAACGGCUGUUUUUUUUUACUGCAAUGCCAUAUAAGAACCAUUUUUGUUUCCCCAAAGAACCUUCUAGUGAUCAGUUCUUUAAAAAACAUAGUUUUCUAUAGUGUGAAGAACACUUGAAUCAUCUAUAGAACCGUUUUCCAUUAUAAAAAAACCUUUUGUGUUGUUUUUUCUUUAAUGCAGUGUUUGUGCUCCAGAUAUGAAUGAUUCCUGAAAUCAUGUGUGUUGCUGAGGAGUGAUCAUAAAUCUAAAAUGAUCAUAUAUUUCAAAUAUUUUCAGACAAGCUGACAGACAGAGAGGACGAAGCUCAUUCUGAUGUUGAGAUCACAGGUGAGAGCAGAAAUCAUUCUUGUUUUUGUCUCAGUUUAUUUCAGGAACUCUCAGUGUAUUUGUUAUAGGUUAUGCAAUUUCAAUAUUUCGUGGAUUCUUCAUAGAACCAUCAAAUCCAAUUAAUUUUUUUUUUGUUUUAAGAGUGUAACUAUUCAUAGCAACGUACUUGUCACAUUAUUACAGAAAGUGCUCCACAGAUGUGAUUUUAGCAUGAUUUUAUCACAGUUCAAACUCAG
ensembl:lncRNA